AGGAGAACUUAUACCUGGCUAUCAUAAAAAAUGGUUCCCAAGGCCAACGCUGUUUACAUGAGUCUCUUCAUCCUAUUGCUGUUGUUCUCAUCCAAAGUCGUGUUUGCCAGAGUUUCCCAAUUUUCAGAAACCAAAGAGAAGAUCAAUACGGAGUUUUCGAAGAUGAAGAUUAUUGACCUUAGACUAUACAAAUGUAUAAAUCCGCCAGGCGCUCCAGGUUGUCGUUGAGUGUGCGGACUACCAGCAACAACAACAUAUAACUGUUGUUUACCAAAAACCAGAACGGAAAUAAGGAUGAUUUGGUGCUUAUAGAAAUAAGGAUCUGGUUGAUCGACUUUGGAGGGAAUAUAAUCUUAGGUCAUCUCAUAGUUCUCUGUGUGGUUGUUCUUCUAGGCUGUAUUAGUUUUUUGCCUCUUCUUUCUUUAUUGGCCAUGGCCACUUUACUUGCUUACAUAUAUUUCAAAUGUCCAAGCAAUUUGUUGAAUGACUGAAUAUUCAUCAAUCAAAGUCAUUGAACGAGAUUGCUAGUUUAUGAAUUCUAAUUGAUAGAGC